AGUAAGGAUAGAGGUGCAACAUGCAUGAGUACACAUGUCGAGGAGAAUGAGAUCCGACGACCCAUGUGGAAAGGGUAUCUUGCCGAAGCGGAAGGAACCUCAUGUUCUGGACGUUGGUUCUGUUGCUUAAGAGGCGCAGGACUGUCAUAUAGGAGACUAUAUGGAGGGCUAUCUUACGC
rnacentral:ncRNA from 1 species